rnacentral:rRNA from 1 species
UACGAAAGGGACUAGCGUUGUUCGGAAUUACUGGGCGUAAAGCGCACGUAGGCGGCCAUGUAAGUUGGGGGUGAAAUCCCGGGGCUCAACCCCGGAACUGCCUCCAAAACUACAUAGCUCGAGGAUGUGAGAGGUUGGCGGAAUUCCGAGUGUAGAGGUGAAAUUCGUAGAUAUUCGGAAGAACACCAGUGGCUAAGGCGGCCAACUGGCACAUUUAUGACGCUGAGGUGCGAAAGCGUGGUGAGCAAACAGG